rnacentral:rRNA from 1 species
UAGGGAAUCUUCGGCAAUGGACGAAAGUCUGACCGAGCAACGCCGCGUGAGUGAAGAAGGUUUUCGGAUCGUAAAACUCUGUUGUUAGAGAAGAACGUUGCAUAGAGUGGAAAAUUAUGCAAGUGACGGUAUCUAACCAGAAAGGGACGGCUAACUACGUGCCAGCAGCCGCGGUAAUACGUAGGUCCCGAGCGUUGUCCGGAUUUAUUGGGCGUAAAGCGAGCGCAGGUGGUUUAAUAAGUCUGAUGUAAAAGGCAGUGGCUCAACCAUUGUGUGCAUUGGAAACUGUUAGACUUGAGUGCAGUAGAGGAGAGUGGAAUUCCAUGUGUAGCGGUGAAAUGCGUAGAUAUAUGGAGGAACACCGGUGGCGAAAGCGGCUCUCUGGACUGUCACUGACACUGAGGCUCGAAAGCGUGGGUAGCAAACAGGAUUAGAUACCCUGGUAGUCCACGCCGUA